UGCCUCGGGGGGCAGCAGUGGGGAAUAUUGCACAAUGGGGGAAACCCUGAUGCAGCAACGCCGCGUGAGUGAAGAAGUAUUUCGGUAUGUAAAGCUCUAUCAGCAGGGAAGAAAAUGACAGUACCUGACUAAGAAGCCCCGGCUAACUACGUGCCAGCAGCCGCGGUAAUACGUAGGGGGCAAGCGUUAUCCGGAUUCAUUGGGCGUAAAGCGCGCGUAGGCGGCCGCCUAAGCGGGACCUCUAACCCCGGGGCUCAACCCC
rnacentral:rRNA from 1 species